AGGUUAAACACACACACACACACACGCACACAUGCCAUGCUGCUAUACGAUUGGCCGUGCCACGUGAGCCCGGGAGGCCCCAGGAGGCCACGCCCCCCUCAGGUGAGGGAGUCGGUGCUGCAGGCGGCUCAGACCUCCUCUCAAUCGACGGGAUGACGGAGGAAGAGUCCAGGAGGAGGAGCAGACGAGGUGACGGGCCGAGGAGCGGAGGAGGAGACGCAGACUACCAUAGUUCUGAUGCAGAAAACAUGGAGGAGCGACGAACGUUCAGAGAGCAGGCCACCGACCAGGAGCUGUGGGGCCGGAGGAAACCAGUGUUGGUCAGAUCAAAGACCUUCGAUCACUCGCUGCUGACUCAAGUCCAGACGGACCUGGACUGCAAGAUCGAGAGGAAGAAGUCUCACUACAGCCAGCUUUCGAAGAGCAACUGCCAGUUCCAUAAAAUAUUCAAGGAGAUCAGCAAAGAGGAACAGCUCAGACAGAGUUACACCUGUGCUCUGCAGAAAGACAUCCUCUACCAGGGCCGGAUGUUCGUCUCUGACCACUGGAUCUGCUUCCACUCCAAGGUGUUUGGAAAAGACACAAAGAUCGCCAUCCCUGUGAUGUCCGCCACGCACAUCAAGAAGACCAACACCGCCAUCCUGCUGCCUAACGCCCUGGUUAUCGCCACCGCUAACGAUAGGUACGUCUUUGUGUCCUUCAUGUCCAGAGACAACACCUACAAGUUCCUGAUGUCCAUCUCUCCCCACCUGGAGGAGAAGAGUCCGUGCAGCAGCCCGGUUAUAUCGUCGGCUGCCAACAGCUUCAGAGGUCAGAGGUCACCCCUCACGCCUCGCUUCCCUCGGAGCUUUCCGGGUGAGUUCUGCGACCUGGGCGUGGCGGCGAGGCCGAGGAGGCGGGGCUUAGAGGAGAACAGCAGCUCGGAUUCCCAGAGCGCCGACGACGACAAGACGGCUGAGUUCUCCGCUGCUCCGCUUCUGCACGCCUUGAAGCAGCCGGGCGGUGCAGCGCCGCCCGAGCAUCCGGACCUUCAGCAUAAAGGGAAGAACCAGCACCAGAAGCAGAACCAGGACCAGCACCAGAACCAGACCCUGCACCAGAACCCAGACUGCAAGCAGCUGGACAAACGCCACGCCGGCUCAGAGCUGAGGAUUUACGGCCGAACUGUGAAACCAGUUUCUCUCAACACUCUGUUGUCGGUCUACCUGUUACUAGUGUGUGUCCUGGUCCUGUCUUCCUGUUACUUGGCCUUUAAGAUCGUCUCAUUGGAGCAGAGGCUGACGACGCUCGGCUCCGUCGCCGAUUUCCCCGAACAGGAUUUGUCUUUCGGUUGCCCAGAAACGACUUCCGACGGGGAAGCGGCGUGAACGCGGAGCUGUUCUCUGAACUGCUGACCAUCAACCUGAUGAAGCUGGAGAAGGUGCAGAAGAACCUGCAGCGGCUGCUGGACGAAGCGACCUGAAUGUACUGGAAACCAGUUUAAUGUUUACAAACAUAUUCUGUGAAUAAUAAUGUUAUUGCGGUCGUUAUGUUACAAAAACAGAGAUGUAUUAAUGCAUUAAAACAAAACCCUGUUAAAGUGUGCAGUGUAGCCACACCCAUCUGUACAGUACUACAAUAGUACUGCUUGGUGUAAUAGUACAAUAGCAGUAUUUUAACGGUGUCCUCUUUAAGAAGGCAGUAACGGUAUAACUGUAUUUCUCUCUUCUUCUCCUGUUUUUAAAUACCACUAAACUAGGAAAAGCUAAAGGUUAGAAUAGUUUGUUCUUACAUUUAAAAAUGUUUUACCCAGAGCAUCCUUGAACACACCGUGGUCAGAAAGCAAAUUUUUAUUAAAUCACCUUUCUGAUUGGUCCUUCCACCAUAUUGUUACUGACAUGUCAAUUAUAUACGAGAAGGACAUUUAUUAAAAUGAGCAUGUUUACUAUCUCUAUAUGGACAGCACAGUGUCAUUCCUCAUUUGACCAGCAGAGGGCGCAGUGAUGUGUUUCUGAACCUCACACUGUGGCUUUAAAGCUUCCACACUGUUGUUGGUCACACAGGUUUUCAACAGACUGUUACAGCGACGAAAUAUAGAAAUUAUACACAGAAUUAAUGAUCAGAUUGUAAUUUCCUCUGUCUGGGAUUAAAGUUGUAUUUUUCCUGCAAUGUUA